rnacentral:rRNA from 1 species
GACGAACGCUGGCGGUGUGCUUAACACAUGCAAGUCGAACGGUAAGGCCCUUUCGGGGGUACACGAGUGGCGAACGGGUGAGUAACACGUGAGUAACCUGCCCUCAUCUCUGGGAUAACAGUCGGAAACGGUUGCUAAUACUGGAUAUGAGCCUGCAAGGCAUCUUGUGGGUUGGAAAGAUUUUUUGGUUGGGGAUGGACUCGCGGCCUAUCAGCUUGUUGGUGAGGUAGUGGCUCACCAAGGCUUCGACGGGUAGCCGGCCUGAGAGGGCGACCGGCCACAUUGGGACUGAGAUACGGCCCAAACUCCUACGGGAGGCAGCAGUGGGGAAUAUUGCACAAUGGACGGAAGUCUGAUGCAGCAACGCCGCGUGCGGGAUGACGGCCUUCGGGUUGUAAACCGCUUUCAAUUGUGACGAAGCUUUUUGUGACGGUAGCAGUAGAGGAAGCACCGGCUAACUACGUG